rnacentral:rRNA from 1 species
CUCGAUGGUAGUGUAUUGGACUACCAUGGCGGUAACGGGUAACGGAGAAUUAGGGUUCGAUUCCGGAGAGGGAGCCUGAGAAACGGCUACCACUUCUACGGAAGGCAGCAGGCGCGUAAAUUACCCAAUCCUGACUCAGGGAGGUAGUGACAAGAAAUAGCGACUCGGGUUCUACAAGGACUACGAGAUUGCAAUGAGGUCCAAUUUAAAGCACUUAGUGAGGAACAAUUGGAGGGCAAGUCUGGUGCCAGCAGCCGCGGUAAUUCCAGCUCCAAUAGCGUAUAUUAAAGUUGUUGCAGUUAAAAAGCUCGUAGUUGAACUUCUGACCGGAUUCCUGCCCUCCAAGGGAUUUGUGAGUCCUGGUCAUCCCUCUUGAGUCCUAUUUACGUACUUUGGUGUAUCGAAGUAGGGCGCAGAGAAUUUACUUUGAAAAAAUUAGAGUGUUUCAAGCAGGCGAUUUGCUGGAAUACAUUAGCAUGGAAUAAUAGAAGAUGACUUUGGAUAUUUUAUUGGUUAUUGUCCAAGGUAAUGAUUAACAGGGACAGUUGGGGGCAUUAGUAUUUAAUUGUCAGAGGUGAAAUUCAUUGAUUAAUUAAAGACUAACUUAUGCGAAAGCAUUUGCCAAGGAUGUUUUCAUUAAUCAAGAACGAAAGUUAGGGGAUCAAAGACGAUCAGAUACCGUC